rnacentral:rRNA from 1 species
UACGAAGGGGGCUAGCGUUGCUCGGAAUUACUGGGCGUAAAUGGCGCGUAGGCGGAACUGUCAGUCAGGCGUGAUAGCCCAGGGCUCAACCCUUGUACUGCGCUUGAUACUGCGGGUCUAGAGUGCCGGAGAGGAUGGUUGAAUUCCUAGUGUAGAGGUGAAAUUCGUAGAUAUUGGGAAGAACACCGGUGGCGAAGGCGGCCAACUGGACGGCAACUGCCGCUGUGUCGCGAAAGCGUGGGGAGCAAUCAGG